UCAGCUGACAGCAUGUGUCUGGUGGGGCUAAAAAGUAUCUAGUCAGUCCCUAACUGUGUAAGUUCUCCUACUUAGAAAGAUGAGAGAGGUCUGUAAUUUUCAUCAUAGGUACACUUCAACUAUGAGAGAAAAAAUGAGAAAAAAAAAAAAAAAUCCAGGAUGUCACAUUGAAGA